AUCAAUACCCUUGAUACAUAGGGUGGUGAUAUAAUUUCAUCAUAAUGAAAAGAAGAACGAUAAAAGUUAAACAUUUUUUAGAUCAAAAGUAAGUUCAACAGUUUUGAUGAUAUUGUCUAGGUGGAAGGUAUAAAUAAAAACUCAGAAUGGCAGAUUCCGAAUUUGAAGAAUUUAGGCAAAUAUUUGAAUCGCUACCACAACACCUGAAAGCAUCUGCACAGACCUAUACGGAAAAUUUUAAAGAAAAGGGAGAAGCUUUUAUGUUAAUUAAAUACGUAUAUUGAAAGAAAGGAAGCUGCCCUUUCCAAAAGAAAUGUUCUAAUUCUAUGGCUUAU